GCAAGUCGAGCGAGAAGCCAUCCUCGGGUGGUAAAGAGCGGCGAACGGGUGAGUAACGCGUAGGUAUCUACCUAGUAGUGGGGAAUAACCAUUGGAAACGAUGGCUAAAACCGAACGCCCUGAGGGGGAAAACUGAGGUGCUAUUAGAGGAGCCUGCGUUAGAUUAGCUAGUUGGUGAGGUAAUGGCUCACCAAGGCGACGAUCUAUAGCUGGUUUGAGAGGAUGAUC
rnacentral:rRNA from 1 species